rnacentral:rRNA from 1 species
GCAAAUCCGGAAAAUCAAGGCUGAGGCGUGAUGACGAGGCACUACGGUGCUGAAGCAACAAAUGCCCUGCUUCCAGGAAAAGCCUCUAAGCAUCAGGUAACAUCAAAUCGUACCCCAAACCGACACAGGUGGUCAGGUAGAGAAUACCAAGGCGCUUGAGAGAACUCGGGUGAAGGAACUAGGCAAAAUGGUGCCGUAACUUCGGGAGAAGGCACGCUGAUAUGUAGGUGAAGCGACUUGCUCGUGGAGCUGAAAUCAGUCGAAGAUACCAGCUGGCUGCAACUGUUUAUUAAAAACACAGCACUGUGCAAACACGAAAGUGGACGUAUACGGUGUGACGCCUGCCCGGUGCCGGAAGGUUAAUUGAUGGGGUCAGCGCAAGCGAAGCUCUUGAUCGAAGCCCCGGUAAACGGCGGCCGUAACUAUAACGGUCCUAAGGUAGCGAAAUUCCUUGUCGGGUAAGUUCCGACCUGCACGAAUGGCGUAAUGAUGGCCAGGCUGUCUCCACCCGAGACUCAGUGAAAUUGAACUCGCUGUGAAGAUGCAGUGUACCCGCGGCAAGACGGAAAGACCCCGUGAACCUUUACUAUAGCUUGACACUGAACAUUGAGCCUUGAUGUGUAGGAUAGGUGGGAGGCUUAGAAGUGUGGACGCCAGUCUGCAUGGAGCCGACCUUGAAAUACCACCCUUUAAUGUUUGAUGUUCUAACGUUGACCCGUGAUCCGGGUUGCGGACAGUGUCUGGUGGGUAGUUUGACUGGGGCGGUCUCCUCCUAAAGAGUAACGGAGGAGCACGAAGGUUGGCUAAUCCUGGUCGGACAUCAGGAGGUUAGUGCAAUGGCAUAAGCCAGCUUGACUGCGAGCGUGACGGCGCGAGCAGGUGCGAAAGCAGGUCAUAGUGAUCCGGUGGUUCUGAAUGGAAGGGCCAUCGCUCAACGGAUAAAAGGUACUCCGGGGAUAACAGGCUGAUACCGCCCAAGAGUUCAUAUCGACGGCGGUGUUUGGCACCUCGAUGUCGGCUCAUCACAUCCUGGGGCUGAAGUAGGUCCCAAGGGUAUGGCUGUUCGCCAUUUAAAGUGGUACGCGAGCUGGGUUUAGAACGUCGUGAGACAGUUCGGUCCCUAUCUGCCGUGGGCGCUGGAGAACUGAGGGGGGCUGCUCCUAGUACGAGAGGACCGGAGUGGACGCAUCACUGGUGUUCGGGUUGUCAUGCCAAUGGCACUGCCCGGUAGCUAAAUGCGGAAGAGAUAAGUGCUGAAAGCAUCUAAGCACGAAACUUGCCCCGAGAUGAGUUCUCCCUGACCCUUUAAGGGUCCUGAAGGAACGUUGAAGACGACGACGUUGAUAGGCCGGGUGUGUAAGCGCAGCGAUGCGUUGAGCUAACCGGUACUAAUGAACCGUGAGGCUUAACCUU